rnacentral:rRNA from 1 species
UACAGAGACUGCAAGCGUUAUUCGGAUUCACUGGGCGUAAAGGGUGCGCAGGCGGUCGGGUGUGUCAGAUGUGAAAUCCCGAGGCUCAACCUCGGAACUGCGUCUGAAACUACUCGACUAGAGUACUGGAGAGGGUAACGGAAUUCACGGUGUAGCAGUGAAAUGCGUAGAUAUCGUGAGGAACACCAGAGGCGAAGGCGGUUACCUGGACAGUUACUGACACUGAGGCACGAAGGCCAGGGGAGCAAACGGG